UCAUAUGAAUAUGUAUGAGAUAGGGACACUUACCAUGACGGUAAGAGGAGAGAUAUACAUCACAACAUUGAAGAUGACACAGACAAUUCUGAAACGAUCCGCUUUAUAUAAAAAAAAAAAUUCAUCAAGAAAGAAUAAAAGAAAAAAAAAAGGAAAAGGAAAAAAAAAUUAAUUAACAAACUUAAAAAGAAAAAAAAACCACUGCAGCCCUCACUAAAACAGAAAAAUUAAAAAUCGUAUCCCUCACACUCUCUCACUCUGUUCAUGUUCUUCUCUUUACGGCUGGAAACCCUAACACUUCCAAUCUCCUCCCUCCGCCCUUCAUCUUCUUCAUUAGGAGCAACCAAAGUGUUUUCCUUCCAGUAAACCGCUCCAAACUUCACUCUUCCUUCGUUGUUCACCAACGCAUUGAGAAGGUUGUCGGGAGCGUAGCGCCCUAACGUGACGGAGAAGGUGCGUUGUGUCACACCGAAGAGAAACUUCCCCUGGCUUAAAGUAGUGGAAAAAUGGAGGAAAGGUAUUGCUUGGCACAAGAGGAUGAUUAAGUAAGCAAUUGAACGUGAGUGGAGUUUCCUAUGAUUGGUGUGGGACCAUGGCUCUUUGGAAUGGCUAGUUGGCAACUUGAAUAUGUGCUGCCCAAAACGUGUUCUCACAGGGAAAGAAACCAAGUCAGCUAUAGAUGAUUCACAAGGGAGAUGCAAGAUGGAUUGAUUUGGUUUUAGUCGUCCAAGGAUUUGCUAGCUACUAGCCCUUCGAGUAUCUUGGAGACAUUGGAAGCAAUCAUUAAUCAUUCUAACUCCUUAUAGUGAAACUGAGUAGCAGACUGUUGUCAGAUUCAGGUCGUUCGGCUUAUUUCGUUUAUAGGCCUCAUUGGAAGGUUGUCAUUUAAUUGUGUCUGUUGUCGGUCUUUGUCAUUCUGCAGCUAUAGGGGAGUCUUUGAGGGGAUUCAGUCUAACUUGUUAUUUAUUGUUUAAAUUUAAGAUUUAGCACAUUAGUGCUGGAUUUGAAAUUUAUGUAUUCUUGGAAUUCUAGUUAUGAUAAAUCUCAAUUGUUAGAUUUUAUUAUUUUGGAGAUAUUGAUAUUACAGGAAA